rnacentral:rRNA from 1 species
UGGGGAAUUUUGGACAAUGGGCGAAAGCCUGAUCCAGCCAUGCCGCGUGAGUGAAGAAGGCCUUCGGGUUGUAAAGCUCUUUUAGGCGGAAAGAAAGAGUUGCAUUGAAUAAUUGUGAUUUAUGACGGUACCGACAGACAAAGCACCGGCUAACUACGUGCCAGCAGCCGCGGUAAUACGUAGGGUGCGAGCGUUAAUCGGAAUUACUGGGCGUAAAGGGUGCGCAGGCGGUCUUGCAAGUCAGAUGUGAAAGCCCCGUGCUUAACCUGGGAAUUGCGUUUGAAACUACACGGCUAGAGUGCAUCAGAGGGGAGUGGAAUUCCAUGUGUAGCAGUGAAAUGCGUAGAGAUGUGGAGGAACACCGAUGGCGAAGGCAGCUCCCUGGGUUGACACUGACGCUCACGCACGAAAGCGUGGUGAGCAAACA